rnacentral:misc_RNA from 1 species
GAUGAAGAACGUAGCGAAAUGCGAUAAGUAGUGUGAAUUGCAGAAUUCAGUGAAUCAUCGAAUCUUUGAACGCACAUUGCGCCCUUUGGUAUUCCUUAGGGCAUGCCUGUUCGAGCGUCAUUUAAACCUUCAAGCUCAGCUUGGUGUUGGGUGACUGUCCGCCGCCUCCGGGCGGUCGGACUCGCCUCAAAUUGAUUGGCGGCCGGUACUUUGGCUUCGAGCGCAGCAGAAACGCGAACUCGAGGCCGUCGUCCUGGCUCCCAGAAGCUAUCUUCACAAUUUUGACCUCGGAUCAGGUAGGGAUACCCGCUGAACUUAAGCAUAUCAAUAAGCGGAGG